rnacentral:rRNA from 1 species
AUUCGAAGAUACGCGAAAAACCUUACCAGGUCUUGACAUACCAAUGAUCGCUUUUGUAAUGAAAGCUUUUCUUCGGAACAUUGGAUACAGGUGGUGCAUGGUCGUCGUCAGCUCGUGUCGUGAGAUGUUGGGUUAAGUCCCGCAACGAGCGCAACCCUUGUUAUUAGUUGCCAGCAUUUAGUUGGGCACUCUAAUGAGACUGCCGGUGAUAAACCGGAGGAAGGUGGGGACGACGUCAGAUCAUCAUGCCCCUUAUGACCUGGGCAACACACGUGCUACAAUGGGAAGUACAACGAGUCGCAAACCGGCGACGGUAAGCUAAUCUCUUAAAACUUCUCUCAGUUCGGACUGGAGUCUGCAACUCGACUCCACGAAGGCGGAAUCGCUAGUAAUCGCGAAUCAGCAUGUCGCGGUGAAUACGUUCCCGGGUCUUGUACACACCGCCCGUCAAAUCAUGGGAGUCGGAAGUACCCAAAGUCGCUUGGCUAACUUUUAGAGGCCGGUGCCUAAGGUAAAAUCGAUGACUGGGAUUAAGUCGUAACAAGGUAGCCGUAGGAGAACCUGCGGCUGGAUCACCUCCUUUCUAAGGA